CCUACGGGAGGCAGCAGUGGGGGAUAUUGCACAAUGGGGGGAACCCUGAUGCAGCGACGCCGCGUGGGUGAAGGAGUGCUUCGGCAUGUAAAGCCCUAUCGGCAGGGAAGAAGCAAGACGGUACAUGACUAAGAAGCACCGGCUAACUACGUGCCAGCAGCGGCGGUAAUACGUAGGGGGCGAGCGUUAUCCGGAUUCACUGGGUGUAAAGGGAGCGGAGACGGCCAUGCAAGCUAGGUGUGAACGCCCGGGGCCCAACCCGGGGACUGCCCUUGGAACUGCAUGGCUGGAGUGCGGGAGGGGCAGGCGGAAUUCCGGGUGGAGCGGUGAAAUGCGUAGAGAUCAGGAGGAACACCGGCGGCGAAGGCGGCCUGCUGGACCGCUACUGACGUUGAGGCUCGAAAGCGUGGGGAGCGAACAGGAUUAGAUACCCUGGUAGUC
rnacentral:rRNA from 1 species